AGGACGAACGCUGGCGGCGUGCUUAACACAUGCAAGUCGAGCGGAAAGGCCCUUCGGGGUACUCGAGCGGCGAACGGGUGAGUAACACGUGAGUAAUCUGCCCCUAGCUCUGGGAUAGCUCCGGGAAACCGGGAUUAAUACCAGAUACGACCACUUUAGACAUCUUCUGUGGUGGAAAGAACUUCGGCUAGGGAUGAACUCGCGGCCUAUCAGCUUGUUGGUUAGGUAACGGCUCACCAAGGCGACGACGGGUAGCCGGCCUGAGAGGGCGACCGGCCACACUGGGACUGAGACACGGCCCAGACUCCUACCGGGAGGCAGCAGUGGGGAAUAUUGCGCAAUGGGCGAAAGCCUGACGCAGCGACGCCGCGUGGGGGAUGAAGGCCUUCGGGUUGUAACCCCUUUCAGCAGGGACGAAGCGAAAGUGACGGUACCUGCAGAGAAGCGCCGGCUAACUACGUGCCAGCAGCCGC
rnacentral:rRNA from 1 species